rnacentral:rRNA from 1 species
AUUGAACGCUAGCGGGAUGCUUUACACAUGCAAGUCGAACGGCAGCGCGGACUUCGGUCUGGCGGCGAGUGGCGAACGGGUGAGUAAUGUAUCGGAACGUGCCCAGUAGCGGGGGAUAACUACGCGAAAGCGUAGCUAAUACCGCAUACGCCCUACGGGGGAAAGCAGGGGAUCGUAAGACCUUUCACUUUUGGUGCGGCCGAUAUCGGAUUAGCUAGUUGGUGAGGUAACGGCUCACCAAGGCGACGAUCCGUAGCUGGUUUGAGAGGACGACCAGCCACACUGGGACUGAGACACGGCCCAGACUCCUACGGGAGGCAGCAGUGGGGAAUUUUGGACAAUGGGGGCAACCCUGAUCCAGCCAUCCCGCGUGUGCGAUGAAGGCCUUCGGGUUGUAAAGCACUUUUGGCAGGAAAGAAACGUCGCGGGCUAAUACCCCGUGGAACUGACGGUACCUGCAGAAUAAGCACCGGCUAACUACGUG